UAAAUGCUAACAUUCAAAUUAAUUAAAUAAGAUGAGUGAACCAAACUCAGUUUUCAUCAACUUGUUAUGAACACUCAUUUUAAAUAAGUAACUAGUAAUUAGAGGUUGGAAAACAUGCUUAACUUGAUUUAUCCCAGUUAAGUCAAAUUAGAAAAAGUUAUUUAUUGUACCCAGCAUGCUUUGGGAGGUUUUUUUUGAACAUGCUCAGACCUUCCUCAUCUACUUCGAGCUACCAAAACCUUCAGCACAUUUUCACCUCGACCGCAUCAUCAAUCAGGAGCUUCCUUCAACACCUUCACCUGGCCUGCUUGUGUUUAGCACAUUAAGGUAAGUGAAUAUUCUCCUCUUUUGUAAACCGUCGCGUUGUCUUGUUGUAGUGUUAUGUGCUUGCCAGGGAGGAGUAAACAAAAUCAAAUUCAAAUAUUACCGCUAGCACAGUAACGUCGCCGUUUUUAAAACAAAUGUAGACAAGAGUUUAUCCUAUCCUUUUCUUGGCGAUUUGGACGCGCGCGCGUGUGUGUGGUGUCGGCGACAGGUUCGAAUGUGGGAGAAAAGGUUGGCCGUUGAGCUCCGGUAUCGGGAUCACGGUGUUCCGACCCGCACAGGGAAGUUCGUUUCAGCCUGGUCGCGCCAAGCUGCUCGCCCUCGAAAAUUGUAUGCUAGCUGCAGCCCUCCAGCUCACACCAGGUUAAUUUCUCCGCGCCGGUUGACAAGGUACCAUUUGUGUAUAUUUGUGUGUCGAUGUGUGUGCGUGUAUUUUCAACUCUGUCUGGCUCUGUUUCGAUAAAUAAACACAAAUAGGCAACAAACGCACACAUAGAGGGCUUAAUGCUAAAAUUAUCAUGUCUUUUCAGGUCAACCAGAGCAGUACUCCCUAAUGCAGUGGACUUGUAAGUACUGCACAUUUUCUGCUGAAAAGAGAGGCUACUUGCUUAAGCAUUACCGCUUAAAACAUGGAUUUCACACUCGGACCUCCCCACUUCCAUGCCUUCAUAAGGAAUGCCUCUGCACAUUUAAAUCUUUUAAUGCACUCAAAGUGCACAUUUCAACAUGGCAUACUCAAAAGGAUGCAGGCAAACGUGGGGAAACUGCAUUUCACUGUCAGUUGUGCAACUUCGUGGAGCCUUGCACAAAAGCAGACUUCUUUACCCAUUUGCGAAGACAUCUUAAGCUGAGGCAAAUGGUUGCUUGCCCAUAUCAGGACUGUAACUUUCAGAGUAAUGUCUAUUCUACCUUUACUGCACACAAAAGCAAAGAGCACCAGAUGCACAACAAGAUGCCAUUCAAACAGGAAAUUGGUUCAAAAAAUGUGGUUGAAGAACUUACAACAAAUGCUAGUGUUCAGAUAGAGGAGAGUGACCAUGAAUUUGAUGGAAUUGACUGUGAAGUUGCUGAGCAAAAUGAAGAUGUGGAGGACUUAGAGAAUCAGUUGGAACACAAUGUAGCUGCUCUUUUCCUGAAAAUGUCAUCAAUUCUUAACAUCUCUGAAACUGCCCUGCAAGAGGUCAUAGAGCAGAUCAAUCAAAUUUAUUUGUUAUCACAGCCAUUGCUACAUUCUUCUAUUCAAAGAAUUCUACAAACACAUUGUGCAAACGUUGAUGAUGCUUUAGUGAAUGAGAUAGCUCAAGUGGUCAUUGAGAAUAAUGUUUUCCUCAAAUUCACUUCUGAUGAGGGAUCGUUGUCAACUGCUAACAGGCGAAAAUCAUACAUUUCAAGGGAAUUCUCUUUGGUUAUGCCAGUUGAAUUUGUCCUAGAAAACAUGCAGAAUGUUGUGUAUGUCCCCAUACUAAAAAUGCUGCAAACAUUACUGAGCAAUAGAGAAAUUCUGGAAAAGACCAUGUCACAUGAGGCAACUUUGUCAGGGAAAUACCAAUCUUACAGAGAUGGUGCCCGCUUCAAAGACAGUGCUUUCUUGAAUGAGGAAGAAUUCAGGAUCGCUCUCCAACUGUAUAUUGAUGAUUUUGAGGUGGCUAACCCCUUGGGAACCUCCAGAAAAAAGCACAAACAAACUGCUAUCUACUGGACACUUGGAAAUUUACACCGUAAAUAUCGCUCUUCUCUUCAUUCCAUUCAGCUUGCUCUGCUUUGCAAGGCGAACAACAUCAAAGACCAUGGUUAUGCCAAAAUUCUCCACCCUCUUAUUCUGGACCUUGUUUUUCUUGAGCAACAAGGCAUAUAUGUUGAACAGUUGGGAGCCACUGUUAAGGGCACAGUGUUAUUUGUUGCAGCAGACAAUCUGGCUGCCCACUCUUUGGGAGGGUUCUUUGAAAGCUUCAGAGUUAGCCAAGUUUGUCGAUUCUGUAUGGCCAAGCGGGAGGAAAUGCAGGAUCAAGAAGUACGGACAGGCUUAUUUCAACAAAGAACAAAAGAAAACCAUGACAAACAUGUGCAAGAGGUGUCACAUUCAGCUAAACAAUACGGCGUGAAAGGAAGCUGUCCCUUUACUGAAAGCUUGCAACAUUUUCAUGUAGUUGAUGGUUACCCUCCAGACAUUCUGCAUGAUCUUCUGGAGGGUAUUGUUCCAGUAGAGUUGGCUCUGUGCUUAAAGGCACUGAUAUCGAAGGGAACUAUCUCCAUUGAGGCCCUGAAUGAUGCUAUUAAACACUUCCCAUACACAUUUGAAGACAGAGUAAAUCAACCCCAACUAAUUCCAAAGACCUUCUCCUCAAAGUCAACAAUUGGAGGAAAUGGUCACGAAAAUUGGACUCUUCUCCGACUUCUACCAUUGUUAACUGGUCAACACAUUCCAGACGGUGAUGAAACCUGGGAGGUCUUAAUGACCUUAAAAGAUGUGGUGGAGUUGGCAAUGUCCACAAGCUUUACAGAAGAGUCUUUGUGCUUUCUUGAUAGCAAAAUCUCUGACCAUAGACAAUUGUUUCAGAAGGUUUUCCCGGGUGAAAAGCUACGACCAAAGCACCACUACAUUGAGCAUUACCCUCAGCUCAUUCGAACAUUUGGUCCUCUAUCUGAUGUGUGGACAAUGCGUUUUGAGGGGAAACACAAGUUCUUCAAGAAAGUUGUGCAUCACUCUCACAACUUUAAAAACAUUCCCCUGACUUUAGCAAACAGACAUCAGAAAAUGAUGGCCUUCCAUCUAGCUGCCACAACAUUUUUUAAGCCAUCUAUUGAAAUUCACAAAGUGAAGUCUGUGAUGGUUUCCUCAUUUCCGGAAAAUGUGCAGAACUGGCUCAGUCAAAGAAACAACCAGCUAAACACAGUCCUUGUUGCUUCCUCCGUCAUCAUUGAUGGCAUCAAGUACAGUUCUGACAUGGUCAUUUCUGUUGGAUCUUGCGCAGGGCUCCCAGAGUUCAGACAAAUCUCAAGGAUUGUUGUUAUAAACACAGAUGUAGCAUUUGUCUGUAGACUGAUGACCUCAUGGUAUGAUGAGCAUCUUAGAGUGUAUGACCUCAGCAGCAGCCAUUUUCCCAUGUUCUCAGUCACCCAGUUGUCAGAUUUGAAUGAUGUGUUUCCUCUGUCACUUUACAGAGUUCAUGGCAAACAGCUUGUUACACUCAAACGGUACAUAUUAGGCUUGGUGGAUUAAACACUGAUGUGUGAAGAUAAUGUUUUUUCACAGGAGGUGACAUUGAGAUGGACCAAAGAUUGAUGCUUCGAGUUGUCAUUCAUGAGGAUGACAUAAGGAAGCUGACCUUAAAUGAUAGACCGAAUUCCAUUGAAGAACUAAAAACACAGCUGCAAGAUAAGCUGUCACUGCAGUACGACUUCAAACUCCAAUAUGAAGAUCCAGAUUUCAGUAAUGCAUUAUGCAAUUUGACUGAAAUAACAGAUUUGCCUGCAAGAGCUACGCUGAAAGUAAUUCCUCUUGUGACUCUCGAUUUGACCGCCCUGUCUUCACCCACCGAAGAAUCAGACUGCAGCACAGUAGACGCUGAGAUCUUGUCCCCUGCUGAAUCGUCACCUUCACUUAGAAGACAGUGGCCAGAGUUCUUUGACAUACCCAGUUUCUCAGUGGAUGUAGAGUACAGGCUGAGACAGGCAGACCUUUCAUUCAUGAAAGACCGUCUCCCAAUUACUCCAUCACGAGACAUGAAACAUGACAUACUUGAGAAGCUCGCCGAAACAAUGUACAGUUUCAAGGCGUACCCGAACGAUGAUGACUUCAGCAGUGUCGCAAAAUCACUGAUAAGUAAGCACCCCAGUCUCACUGAACCUGGUCCCCAGCCAGGGUGGUAUGGCUGGAAAAAUAGCCUAAAAUUCAAGAUGGCAAACUAUCGUACAAAGCUACGAAAAGCAGGAUGUGAUGAUGUAAUGAUAAAUGGGGGUAAACGAAGUAAAAACUUAAUCCAGAUGGAGACUCAUCCAGCAAGAAUGUCAAGAGACCAAAAAGAGGCGAAGCCAAUUAUUUGCCUAAUUUACCAGACGGACAUGAUGAAAGAAGCCUUGAAAAUGCCAGGAAGACUGUCUUCGAGGAAAUGAAGAAAAAAAACCCCAAUGCCACUCUAGUCUCGCAAAUAAUGGACCAAACAUUCCCACUGCGCAGAAGGGAGAUAGUGACACAGGAGCCUGCUGUGCAGAGCAUGGUUGAACGUUGGCCAGCACUUUUUACUGAGAGACAGGUCUUUGCAGAGUUUAAUCGCGUGGCCAGUAAGAACCUUGAAGGAAACUUCUAUGAAGCCUUAGACCAACAUACCCCACGCUUCAUCGAGCUUUUCAAGUCCAAAAAAGGAACUACAGGACAAAAAUUGACAGACUUGAUGCAGCACAUCAACUGCCUGUCGCCAGAUGUGACGGCACUUCGCUCUGUUGUCCUCAGAGGCCUUCCUAUUGUGCUUGGUGAUGACUCCAGUGAGGUCUACAAGACUUGCUUUGACACAGCGAAGGAAGAAGCACUCGCCUCAGUGACAGUUGGGGUGCUGACCGUGGUCAAUGAAGAUGCUCUGCAGCAGGGUCUAAAUGCAGUGCACCUCCAGCCAAUCUCCACUGCCAUCAUACUUGAGGGAAGUACAGUCAUGGACAAUGUUAGAGACUUUCCCCAGGCAGUCUGCCUCUUGUUUGGUCUUAUGUAUGCGCUUCACUUAGAUUACCCAAAAUGCAUGGUGAACACACUCACAUUCAUUCAAGCAAUCAUGCUUGGAUUGGGAAGCAAAAUACUCAAUCCGAAACUGCUUAGUUUGAAAAACAAACUACUGGGGUAGGCAGUGCAAAAACCUUUUCCCCUCUUCAAAAUAGAGUCCCAGAUGUCCCAGCAUUACCUGUAUGAAAGAAAAUUGACUUAAAUUUUACCCAAACCCAUUUUGUGUGAGCAACUUAACAAAAAGAUGAUAUUUGAUUCUCAAUAGGUGACAAGGAAAUAUCAGCAAUAUUAGCAUGUCCAGGCUGCACAGGCAUCUCACUUCUUUAUCUUCACUGCAAAAUAAUAAUCCCAAUAAUUUAAAAUGCCUACAUAGUUGACACACCAACAUCAAUAGUUUCCUGUGUCUCUUAAUAAUUGUUACCUUUAUGGAAAAUAAAUGUAUGUGCUUUUGUACAAGUAAUGCCAACACAUCCAGGACCCUCAUUUUGAAGAGUGGAUCAACAGGAAAUAUUUGUUGUUAAUGUGCAUGUCAUUAUGUUUCAAGUUGUUACUUUGGUUUUCAAAAAGUAACUGCACCCAACAUAACCGUAAGCUUCAGAACUAAAAAGUGAUUAGUUCAGAAAGGUUCUCUGAAAGGGUUUAGGUCUUCAUAAUAUUCUUUCCAAGCAAUUAUGAGGAACAUAUUUUCUAUAUGUUGUGCAUUUUUGUUGAGAGACUGUUUUUUGAUAUGUUUUCUUGUCUCAAACUGGACCAUGUUCCCAGGUCAGGAACUAUUUUUAGUUAAAUAAAUUUUAAUUCCACUGA